CGAACGCGAAAGUUCCUUCGGGAGACGAGUAGAGUGGCGCACGGGUGAGNUACGCAGUAGUAAUCUGCCCCUGUGUNCGGAAUAGGGCAGCGAAAGGUGUGCUAAUACCGGGUACGCUGGAAACAGGAAAGAUGGCCUCUUCAUGAAAGCUAUCGCACAGGGAGGAGCUUGCGUACCAUUAGCUGGUUGGUAGGGUAAAGGCCUACCAAGGCGACGAUGGUUAGCGGGUCUGAGAGGAUGAUCCGCCACACUGGAACUGAAACACGGACCAGACUCCUACGGGAGGCAGCAGUGAGGAAUAUUGCGCAAUGGGGGAAACCCUGACGCAGCGACGCCGCGUGGAUGAUGAAGGCCUUCGGGUCGUAAAAUCCUGUCAGAUGGGAAGAAAUGCCUGCAGGUUAACAGCCUGUGAGUUUGACGGUACCAUCAAAGGAAGCACCGGCUAACUCCGUGCCAGCAGCCGCGGUAAUACGGAGGGUGCAAGCGUUGUUCGGAAUUACUGGGCGUAAAGCGCGCGUAGGCGGUUUGUUAAGUCAGAUGUGAAAGCCCAUGGCUCAACCAUGGACGUGCAUUUGAUACUG
rnacentral:rRNA from 1 species